GUUUUAUCUCUAUCCUGACCAUGCCAGACUGGAGAAAUUUUAUUGUAUUAUAAAUAAUAUAGAGAUAGUCCUAAACUUAUGACAGUUCGUACAGUUGUGUAUGAAAUGUUCCAUUUAUGAUGAUAUUCUGCACUUUUAAAGGCCACUAUCAAUGCUUUUGUGAUAAUAGCAUCCAUUCAACUGGAAGAUCAAGCACUGCCAGAAUGAAAGUGUGCUCUACUUCUAUAAUGAAGUAUAUGUGUUUGAUUUUAGGCCCAAUAUCUCAAGACUUUUUCAGAAGAAUUUCAAACCUGGCCCAUUCAACACAAUCCUUCACUUGACUGUCAAUCCUUACCAUGGAUAUAAGCAGCCUGUGGUUUGUAGUAGAAUGUCUUACUGCUUUGUAUCCAAUAAGAAGAAAAUAGCUUAUGAUUCAAUAUAAAUAAUUAGUGCUUACACUAGUUUUCAAUGUACUUUAGUUAUAUAUUUUUGUUUCAAUUCAGAUUUACUCAAGAAUAUUUCCCAAAAUUUCUAUAAUGAAAUGAUAUAUAAUAAAGUAAUUCACUCAUCUGGUAACCUUUAAAUAAACAAGGGCAC
rnacentral:lncRNA from 1 species